CCCAUCUCCCAUUCCCCUCUCUCAUGCUUUCCAGGAGGCCUCUGCUUUCCACACCGGGCGAUUGAAUCCAGCAAUCCCUAGCCGCCGGAAUUCGACGCACCAUAGCCGGGGAGAGUCCACCGCCGACGGGGAGAGCCUCUCCGGUUGGAACGACCACCCACAUCGGGGCAGAGGGGAACCGCGUGCGUGGCCAGCAAGUGGACCGACGGGCGAGACGCCAUGCCGCGGACGCGACGGGGAGAAGAGAGGAAGGGGCGCGCGUGGGCGGCUGGCCGACGAGGAACCAACGCGUCUCUGCCACAUCUACGAACCGCACGUCAGUUUUCCGGCGGCUCUCCAUUUUUUUUUCUCGUCGUUUCUGGGGGAAGAAGGGUAGGGGAGCAAACUAGAGACUAAAAUCGUGAGCGGGGAGGCGAAAUCGUAGUCCUCGCCGGCGAUUCAAACCAAAAUCGCGUCAGAGCUGUUUGCCUGCAGCAAAACUUCAUCUCUGUUUGCCUACAUACUGUGUUGGUUGCCUAAUUACGUUGCCUACAGCAAAACCUCAUCUCUGUUGCCUGCAUAUUAGGCAAAUAUACGUUGUCCAUUUAUGUGUUUGUAGGCAACUCAAGUACUCAUCCUGUAUAUAUGUAGGCAAACUCACACAGUAGUUAAGUUGGACAAAGGUUUCUGUAG
rnacentral:rRNA from 1 species